UACGUAGGGGGCGAGCGUUGUCCGGAAUCAUUGGGCGUAAAGAGCGUGUAGGCGGCUUGGCAAGUCUGACGUGAAAGCCCGCGGCUCAACCGCGGAUUGUCGUUGGAAACUGCCUCGCUAGAGUCCGGAAGAGGAGAGCGGAAUUCCGUGGUGUAGCGGUGGAAUGCGCAGAUAUCAGGAAGAACACCCGGUGGCGAAGGCAGGUCUCC
rnacentral:rRNA from 1 species